GAGUAACCUGCCCCAGACUCUGGAAUAACCCCGGGAAACCGGAGCUAAUACCGGAUACGAGACGGAGCCGCAUGGCUACCGUUUGGAAAGUUUUUCGGUCUGGGAUGGACUCGCGGCCUAUCAGCUAGUUGGUGAGGUAACGGCUCACCAAGGCGACGACGGGUAGCCGGCCUGAGAGGGCGACCGGCCACACUGGGACUGAGACACGGCCCAGACUCCUACGGGAGGCAGCAGUGGGGAAUAUUGCACAAUGGGCGAAAGCCUGAUGCAGCGACGCCGCGUGAGGGAUGAAGGCCUUCGGGUUGUAAACCUCUUUCAGCAGGGAAGAAGCGAAAGUGACGGUACCUGCAGAAGAAGCACCGGCUAACUACGUGCCAGCAGCCGCGGUAAUACGUAGGGUGCGAGCGUUGUCCGGAAUUAUUGGGCGUAAAGAGCUUGUAGGCGGUUUGUCGCGUCUGCCGUGAAAAUCCGAGGCUCAACCUCGGACUUGCGGUGGGUACGGGCAGACUAGAGUGUGGUAGGGGAGACUGGAAUUCCUGGUGUAGCGGUGAAAUGCGCAGAUAUCAGGAGGAACACCGAUGGCGAAGGCAGGUCUCUGGGCCACUACUGACGCUGAGAAGCGAAAGCGUGGGGAGCGAACAGGAUUAGAUACCCUGGUAGUCCACGCCGUAAACGUUGGGAACUAGGUGUGGGCCUCAUUCCACGAGGUCUGUGCCGCAGCUAACGCAUUAAGUUCCCCGCCUGGGGAGUACGGCCGCAAGGCUAAAACUCAAAGGAAUUGACGGGGGCCCGCACAAGCGGCGGAGCAUGUGGAUUAAUUCGAUGCAACGCGAAGAACCUUACCAAGGCUUGACAUACACCGGAAACACCCAGAGAUGGGUGCCCCGCAAGGUCGGUGUACAGGUGGUGCAUGGUUGUCGUCAGCUCGUGUCGUGAGAUGUUGGGUUAAGUCCCGCAACGAGCGCAACCCUCGUUCUAUGUUGCCAGCGCGUAAAGGCGGGGACUCAUAGGAGACUGCCGGGGUCAACUCGGAGGAAGGUGGGGAUGACGUCAAAUCAUCAUGCCCCUUAUGUCUUGGGCUUCACACAUGCUACAAUGGCCGGUACAAAGGGCUGCGAAAUCGCAAGAUGGAGCGAAUCCCAAAAAACCGGUCUCAGUUCGGAUUGGGGUCUGCAACUCGACCCCAUGAAGUCGGAGUCGCUAGUAAUCGCAGAUCAGCAACGCUGCGGUGAAUACGUUCCCGGGCCUUGUACAC
rnacentral:rRNA from 1 species